rnacentral:misc_RNA from 1 species
GUUGGCUAGAAAAUACUAGAAAUUGAAUUUUGCAGACUUUUGAUCUGAAUCCGUAAAGGAGAUGGUCUCCGGUGAGAUAUCACUGAUUUCGAAAUGGGAAUAGUAUAUUUCCAUUUCCUUGAAAUUCUCAACCCUCCGAAGAGAUAGGAGGUAAGUGUUUAUAGUAGCAUUUUCUUGCGUUGUUUCUCGAUUUAAACUAUAUUUUCAUUUCAUUUAUUUGUUAUCUAAUCAGUUGUAUCUGGGUUUUAAUGGGAAAUCGAAUCCAUUACAUCAUACUUUACAAGUUUAUGUGCCGUUGAUUUUCAGUGGUUCUGAAAUUGUUACUAGCAUCUACAACUGAAAAUGGCUUGCUAAAUAAAACAGUAAUCGUAUAAUGAAUCUCUAUCAAUUUUUUAAUACUUUAUGUGCAACUGGUUCAUGCAAGCACCACAGGUUUUUAACCUGAAAUUAUUUGGUUCCUUCUAGAUCUUACAAAGCUGGGCAGCUUCAAGCAAGAUCCCGCAUCCAAGUUGAUUUGAAAUUAUGGUGUCAAACAAUUGAAAAUACUUUUUUGUUUUUUUUUGUCUUCAAGCAUGAAAUAACCACAGACAGUCCUUUGUGGAUGAAAUUUUGAUGACAUUAUAUAGCAAGGAGAGAGAAUUAUUUGUCAUAAAUAGGGAAAUAUGGAGUGUAAUAAAGAUGAAGCAAUCAGGGCGAAAGAAAUUGCUGAGACGAAGUUUACAGAAAGAGAUUUUGCUGGGGCAAAGAAAUUUGCUUUGAAGGCCCAAAACUUGUAUCCUGAGCUUGACGGUCUAUCUCAAAUGCUGGUGACAUUUGAUGUGCAUGCGUCUGCUGAGAAAAGAACAGUUACUGUCGAAGUUGAUUGGUAUUGUGUGCUUGGUGUAAACCCCUGGGCUGAUUAUGAGACAGUCAGGAAACAGUACCAAAAACUGGCCCUCAUGCUUCACCCUGAUAAAAACAAAGCGUUGGGUGCAGAUGGUGCAUUUAAGCUUGUGUCAGAUGCAUGGAGUAUAUUAUCUGAUAAGUCAAAGAGCUUAGCAUACAAUGAGAAAUUAAAUGUUGUAGGACAUCAACAGAGAGUUUCAACAGAGACUAAGUUUCCCUCAACAUCACCUACUGCUAAUGGCUUUCAUAAUUGUGACAGUGCUGUGAAUUUAGAUGCGAGGACUCAGAACAAGAAUACUUGGGCAGGUCCAACCUUGGUUCCACCUCCUCCUUAUAAAAGACCUGAUACUUUUUGGACUAUAUGCAACAGAUGUAAGACACAGUAUGAGUAUCUGAGGAUUUAUCUAAAUCACACCCUCCUAUGCCCAAAUUGUCAUGAAGCUUUUUUUGCUGUAGAGAAGGCUCCACCUCCAAGCGUUAUGAAGCCAUCCAAUUAUUCUUCUCGCCAAAAGCAUCAGAAUUCAAGACAUCGUGCUACAAAUAGUACACCGUGUAAUGUUGGAAGAAAUUGUGGAGUUGCUCAAAGUUCUAGACCUGCUCAAAGUUUUGGACCUGACGGGUUUGGAGUAAAUUCAUCCAACAGCCCAGAUAUCCAGGGGAAUCAUUUUUCCAGGAUGGCUGCUACCAGGGCUACGGUUGCAUCACUGUCUACUUCUGCUCAAGCUGCAAGCAUGGUUGAGCAGUCACAUCAGCAUGUGAAGAGAGAGCCUCAGGAAGUAAAGGCUGACCAAAUCUUUAAAAGGAGAAGAUCUAUUGAAACUUAUAUGAAUUCUUAUGGAGCUGGGAGUGGAAGAUCAGGCUUGGGGAGUGCAUCUGAACAAAAAAGGGACUAUGUUGGGAUGGAAAGGACCUAUGGCUUUCCUAGUACUAACAAUAAGCCCAACAGCAAGAGAGAGUUGCUACCUGUUGAGCUCCGAAACAUGUUGAUGGAGAAGGCAAGGUUAGAUAUUUGUAAAAAGCUUAAAGAGUGGAGCUCAAAUGAAGUAAAACUGAAACAAGGCAAAAAGCAUAUAAGCAUGGUAGGGAAUGAUACAAAUAAUCAGAAGCAUGAUAACUAUGCUAUUAUGGAUAAUGGAAACCAAAGCAAGAAGUUUUUCCGUGUUUUUUCUUCUGAUGAUUCCAUUAAAAAUGCCCCGGCACCAAUGGCAAUUAAUGUACCAGACCCUGAUUUUCACAAUUUUGAUUCGGAUCGAACUGAAAGUGCUUUUAGAGAUGACCAGGUUUGGGCUGCCUAUGAUGAAGAUGAUGGAAUGCCUCGUUACUAUGCUCGAGUUCACAAGGUUAUCUCCUUGAAACCAUGCAAGAUGAGCAUUAGUUGGCUCAACUCAAGGAGCAACCGCGAAUUUAGCUCUGUAGACUGGGUAGGUUCUGGUUUCCCCAAGACUUGUGGGGAUUUCAGGGCUGGCAAACAUGAGAUCAGUGAAACAUUAAAUUCUUUCUCUCACAAGGUUAAAUGGACAAAAGGCACUCGUGGGGCCAUUUGCAUACUUCCAGGAAAGGGAGACGUUUGGGAUCUUUAUAGGAACUGGUCCCCAGACUGGGAUGAGCAUACUCCAGAUGAAGUGGUACACCAAUAUGACAUGGUGGAAAUGCUUGAUGACUAUAAUGAAGAACAAGGUGUGUCCGUUGUUCCUCUUGUUAAGGUUGCUGGUUUGAAGACAGUUUUUCGUAGGCAUAUGGAUCCCAAAGAAAUUAGGAAGAUUCCAAAAGAGGAGAUGUUUCGCUUCUCUCAUCAGGUCCCAGAUCAUCUGCUUACUGGUGAAGAAGCCCAUAAUUCUCCAAAGGGCUGUCGGGAGUUAGAUCCAGCAGCUACUCCUUUGGAACUUCUUUAGGUAAUUACUGAAGUUAAUGAGACACAAACGGUAGGAAAUUCUGGCAAAACUGAAGAAGAAAUGAUGCUGAAUUUUACAGGAACUAAAGUUGAUCAGGUGUUGCAUAAUGCCUCAGUAGCCAAGGAGGUUGAGGUGAUAGAAAGUGAUGAACAAGUCAAGGAUAAUAAAUAAGGUCUGGUAAAUAGGUGGCCGAGGAAGCCAUUGUUGUAGAUGAUUCUGAAAAGGCUGAGAAAUUAGCUUUUGGAAACUGCUCAAGAUAAUAUCAAUAUAGGUAAGGUUUUCUUGUUUCAUUUUCUUCUUCAAAGCUGAUCCAUACUGUAGAUGCUUUUUUGCACCAUAACUGCAUAUGCAGAUGAUGCAAAGUCAUUUAUUAUAUUUUAUUUUAUUUUAUUGUAUAUUAUUUUUAGAGUUUAGGAAUGGUGGAUUUGGGUAUAAAAUAACUCAUGCUUUACUUUGAUCAAGUGUGCUGGGACUGGCAGCAACCCAUAUAAUUGUACCAUUUAUGAUUGUGAAUUGUCACAAUUUCUUUCAUUUUUGGGUAUUUAGCAAUGAUUUAAGAUCAUUGUGUGAAAUGUAAAUGUUAAAACCCUACCGGGCAGGGAUUUAUUGUAACUGUGCAUCAGCUGCCAUGCAAAUAUUGUUUUGGUGCUUGCC